GUGAACGGCCAUAGCAGCCUGGAAAUACCCGUUCCCAUUUCGAACACGGCAGUCAAGCAGGCUCACGUUCCCGCCAGUACUGUAUUUCAUACGGGAAACCGGGAAAGCUGUUCACA
rnacentral:rRNA from 1 species